CAGCACCUCAAGUGGUCAGGAUGAUUAUUGGGCCUAAAGCAUCCGUAGCCGGCGCUGUAAGUUUUCGGUUAAAUCUGUACGCUCAACGUACAGGCUGCCGGGAAUACUGCAGCGCUAGGGAGUGGGAGAGGUAGACGGUACUCGGUAGGAAGGGGUAAAAUCCUUUGAUCUAUUGAUGACCACCUGUGGCGAAGGCGGUCUACCAGAACACGUCCGACGGUGAGCGAUGAAAGCUGGGGGAGCAAACCGGAUUAGAUACCCGAGUAGUCC
rnacentral:rRNA from 1 species